CCCUCUGACCGGUCCGUAACGGGAYUUUUCCUUCGGGACAGGGGAGACAGGUGGUGCAUGGUUGUCGUCAGCUCGUGUCGUGAGAUGUUGGGUUAAGUCCCGCAACGAGCGCAACCCCUAUCCCCAGUAGCCAGCAGGUAGAGCUGGGCACUCUGAGGAGACUGCCAGGGAUAACCUGGAGGAAGGCGGGGAUGACGUCAAAUCAUCAUGCCCCUUAUGAUUUGGGCUACACACGUGCUACAAUGGCGUAAACAAAGGGAAGCGAGAGGGUGACCUGGAGCAAAUCCCAAAAAUAACGUCCCAGUUCGGACUGUAGUCUGCAACCCGACUACACGAAGCUGGAAUCGYUAGUAAUCGCGGAUCAGAAUGCCG
rnacentral:rRNA from 1 species